UUCCGGCUGACGAGUCCCAAACAGGACGAAACGCGCGUCCUGGAU
rnacentral:hammerhead_ribozyme from 1 species